AGAGUAUUUUCACUGAGUCAACAAACAGAGGUAUCAGCGCCGGCUCCCUUUGAUGGUCCUGUGAGCGCUUGUAAGCCUCCAAAGCUGUUCUUGGCACAGAGGGACCAUGUCUAAAAGCUUCCAUUCUCCUCUUCAUUGGAAUCACCCCUCCUGCCUCCUGGAGGGAUUCCUAACUCACAUUCUUGGACAACAAAGGCAGUUAACGGAAUCCUGAGCCAGGGCCAAGGAAGUGUAGCCAAGAGGAUGACUUGGUUUGGUCUCCUGUGGAAAAGAUUCCAGCAUCUCCCAUUCAACAAAAGCCAAAGUCUACAAGAAAUAGGACGUGAGGUUCCAGUUCUUGGAACAGGGACUGCAAACCCUUCACCUUCAAGAAGAAAAAUUACCAGACAUGAAGGGAGCUACCUCCAAGGCGAAG
rnacentral:lncRNA from 1 species